rnacentral:lncRNA from 1 species
AAUUUUUGGUGAGUGGUUGAAUGAGAAAGUGAGGAAAUCUCUCUUAAAUGCUCUUGAAAGUGAAAGAAGGGUGCUAGGGCUUAGGGAGAUCGCUCAAGUGAAAUGCAAAGAAGAGUUUGGAAGUGAAAAAUGUGAAAAACCACUUAGCUUUUAAGUAAAGCGAAAACCCCUCAGCGCCGCAACCGCUCAGCGACAAAAUGCACCGCUCAGCGGUUUGCGCGUGAUUUCUCUUCUUCCUCUUUUUGCUUUCUUUUGAGUAAUCUUUCCCUCUAGCACUUAAUUUCAACCUUCAAUUUCUCAAAUAUAUACCUUUCCCCUCUCAAAUGCAAUCAUCAACAUGUAAUGCAUUUAACACAGGAUUAAAACAAAACAAUCAAUUGGAUUGCCUUCCAGGUAGCGCUUGUUUAACGUCACGAGCCUGACCCAAACCUGUUUAGCACUCAUCAGUAAGUGCUUCUGGAUGGGUGUCGCGGCCCAUACAAAUUUAAUUGCAAAUUAGAAAUGCAGUAUAAUGGUAGGGAAUGACCCCUAGGUCGUCUCUCAAGGACCAACUGCGGUUCAGAGUCAAGUCUAACACAAAAGGGGGGGGGGGGUUUGAAAAAUGUUUUUGCGAAUGCGAAUAACUAAAUUAAAACAAAUGGACAUUAAACUCAACUGAGUAAGUUAGAAAACAUCAAGGUAAAAUAAAAUGCUAAUCCCAACAUUUCAACAAACAAUUAUCUAAACACAAGUAAAACUAUAAAAUGCAACACUAAAUUAGAGACAUCAAAAGCAACUAAUCCUACUAUGUAAAUUAAUGCAAAACAAAGGAGUAAUUAAACAUGCUUUU